GGGGUGCUCGAGUGGCGAACGGGUGAGUAACACGUGAGUAACCUGCCCUUGACUUUGGGAUAACUUCAGGAAACUGGGGCUAAUACCGGAUAGGAGCCCCUGCUGCAUGGUGGGGGUUGGAAAGUUUCGGCGGUUGGGGAUGGACUCGCGGCUUAUCAGCUUGUUGGUGGGGUAGUGGCUUACCAGGGCUUUGACGGGUAGCCGGCCUGAGAGGGUGACCGGCCACAUUGGGACUGAGAUACGGCCCAG
rnacentral:rRNA from 1 species